GCAUUGAUCAUUAAGGAAUGACUUUAAUAUUUGUUCUGUCUAUAGAGAAAUAAUAUCAAAAAUGUGGUGCCCACCGAAUAACAUGCGUAGCGUAUGCACCACAUUUUUUAUGUAAUUUCGAAUAAACAGAAAUAUUAAAGUCAAUCCUUAUAAUUUAAUUCAAAAUUCAUUUAAAAGCUGGAGGAAAUCAUUAAACAAAAACGUUGUCGACGUCACGGUGACACGAAAAAAAUAUUUCUGUGAGAUGAUAGACAAGACAGAGUCACCCAAUCAGAAAACGCGUUUCAUCCGAGAUUAAAUUAUUCAAAUGGGGACG
rnacentral:lncRNA from 1 species